rnacentral:tRNA from 1 species
NNNGGGAUGGAGCAGCCUGGUAGCUCGUCGGGCUCAUAACCCGAAGGUCGUCGGUUCAAAUCCGGCUCCCGCAACCA